rnacentral:lncRNA from 1 species
GUCUGGCUCCCGGCAGUGCUCAGAGUUUGGAUUGUCCCCACUGACAGGAUCCUGGUCAGCAGAACACAGGCAUCGCAGUCUUAACCCGCGGACAUGGUGCACGGCUGCCACCUGGCGGCCGCCUGGCCAGAAACACACAGAUCCAACAGGCCUCCCUUCGGAAUCCUUGCUGACUGUCCCAGCUGGGCCAGCAAUCUUCUCCACGGAGUGCUGUCCUCAACCUUGUCCAGAGAAGCUUCUCUGCAGUGAGCAGCAGUAAUGCAGAGCAAUGCAGCAGUAAUGCAGAGACUCCUAACUGGUCAGAGUGCUGACAGCAAGUGACUGUGGAGUGAUCAGCCCCAACUGGAGCAUCUGUAUCAAGCCCAUCCGGUGGCCCAGGGAACAUCAAGGCAGAACAAGUGCAGGAGUUGGGGAUGGGGAGGUGUGUUAUGGAGCGCUGCGUUCUUGACCAGACACAGCCACUGUGCUCAGGGAGUCACGGCAGCCCAUAACCAAGCCAGUAAGAUCAGUCUUCAUUCCGAAAGGCAGCACUGACUGGACUCAGUUACAAAAAUGAAAGGAA